UGAGAGCAGGUUAAAGAAAAAUAACAUAAAAAAUGCAAAUUACAAUGAUUUUACAUUCAUGAAUGUAUACAUUUUGAGAUAGAUAUGAACAAACUUUUACCAUUAACACUGAAAUAUUUAUUAACGAUGUAAUUUCUUCCACAAAUAAUGUAAAUUGGUGUAAACAAUUAUAACAAAAUUCUAUGAUGAUUAUGUACCAUCUUAACCCUUUUCACAUUCACAGUGCUAUUACGCUGGUGUUCUUUGCUCUCACAUCUGUCUAAAACUACUGCUUUGGGCCAUCUCAGGUGGAAGUGAGAUUCCGUAAAGUCUGCCAUUGAGUUGGUGGAGCAGGUUGUGGAUGUGUUUGUAGGAGGAGCGCCACAUGAGAGUGUAACCAGGGUGAAACAGCGUUUUUUAGUUGUGUUGAAAUGUCACCAAUGCUGAUUUAAAUGUACCAGUAUAUGUUUAGGUACAUUUGGUAACCUGUUCCUUUGUUGAUGUGUUUUUGUACCUGUACUGUAGCUUUAAGAGAAGUCCGUGUUUUGUGACGUGUGUGUGGCGCCAAAGCUCAGAAGGCUUUUUACUGUCUGAGCGGAGGAGGGAAUGUUGGUCCCGACUACGACCGUUUAUACUAUUGACACGUUGGUUUCUUUGGCUCAUACAGGUAUGAAUGUUUUAUGUUCUUUAUAUUAUCGAUGCUGGUUAUGUUUGUGUAUAUGCAGUGAAGUGCAUCUAGUAUGUUAUUCUAUUUAUUUUCAUAUUAUUUUAUACGUCGUCAGAAGGCUUUUUACUGUCUGAGCGGAGGAGGGAAUGUUGGUCCCGACUACGACCGUUUAUACUAUUGACACGUUGGUUUCUUUGGCUCAUACAGAAGCGAAUAAAUGAGAGAAAGCCAGCCUC